GGGCUUGAUGCUGGCUCCUGCAAUGGAGUAUGUGCUCAGUCCUCUUAUCCAACCAACCCCUGUGCACUUAAAUAUUGAUGAAGAUGCAGUCUCUCCGGUUUUCCAGGAGCAACUAGGCUUUGCGGCUUGGUUAAGAUUGUACUCUUUGUCAACAACUAUAAACCCCUGUAUUUGUAUUGUUGAAUGUCAUCUUUUAAUAAAAUACAACUUUCAACAACGGAUCUCUUGGCUCUCGCAUCGAUGAAGAACGCAGCGAAAUGCGAUAAGUAAUGUGAAUUGCAGAAUUCAGUGAAUCAUCGAAUCUUUGAACGCACCUUGCGCUCCUUGGUAUUCCGAGGAGCAUGCCUGUUUGAGUGUCAUGAAAUUAUCAACCUCUCUGAUUUUGUCAGAGUAAGGAUUGGAAUUGGGAGUUUUUGCUGGUCGCUUGAAUGUUGGUCAGCUCUCCUUGAAUGCAUUAGCUUGGACGUUGCUCCAGUGCGGUACGCGGUGUGAUAAUUAACUCACCCAUGGUAAAUCCGUUUUUGGAGACUUUGAAGUCUAGCUUCGAAUCGUCUUAGGACAAUAUUUGAUUAUUUGACCUCAAAUCAGGUAGGACUACCCGCUGAACUUAAGCAUAUCAAUAAGCGGAGGAAAAGAAACUAACAAGGAUUCCCCUAGUAACUGCGAGUGAAGCGGGAAAAGCUCAAAUUUGAAAUCUGGCAGUUUCGACUGUCCGAGUUGUAAUCUGGAGAAGCGUUUUCCGUGUCGGACCGUGUACAAGUCUCUUGGAACAGAGCGUCAUAGAGGGUGAGAAUCCCGUCCAUGACACGGACUACCGAUGCUUUGUGAUACGCUCUCGAAGAGUCGAGUUGUUUGGGAAUGCAGCUCAAAAUGGGUGGUAAAUUCCAUCUAAAGCUAAAUAUUGGCGAGAGACCGAUAGCGAACAAGUACCGUGAGGGAAAGAUGAAAAGCACUUUGGAAAGAGAGUUAAACAGUACGUGAAAUUGUUGAAAGGGAAACGCUUGAAGUCAGUCGCGUUGUCCAGGACUCAGCCUUGCUUCUGCUUGGUGUAUUUCCUGGUUAACGGGUCAACAUCGAUUUUGGCCGGUGGAUAAAGUCAUUGGGAAUGUGGCACCUUCGGGUGUGUUAUAGCCCUUUGUCACAUACGUCGGCUGGGAUCGAGGACCGCAGCAUGCCCUUUGGGCCGGGGCUUGUCCCACGUACAUGCUA
rnacentral:rRNA from 1 species